AGCAGCCGCGGUAAUUCCAGCUCCAAUAGCGUAUGUUAAAGUUGUUGCAGUUAAAAAGCUCGUAGUUGAAUUUCGGGAUCAAGGAAUCGGUCAUGCCUCGGUAUGUACUGGUUUUAUUGGUUCUCACCUUCUAAAGAACCAUAAUGUCAUUUAUUUGAUGUUAUGGGGAAUUAGGACUGUUACUUUGAAAAAAUUAGAGUGUUUAAAGCAGGCUCACGCUUGAAUACAUUAGCAUGGAAUAACGGAAUAGGACGUUUGAUUCUAUUUUGUUGGUUUCUAGGAUCGACGUAAUGAUUAAUAGGGAUAGUUGGGGGCAUUAGUAUUCAAUUGUCAGAGGUGAAAUUCUUGGAUUUAUUGAAGACUAACUACUGCGAAAGCAUUUGCCAAGGAUGUUUUCAUUAAUCAAGAACGAAAGUUAGGGGAUCGAAGACGAUCAGAUACCGUCGUAGUCUUAACCAUAAACUAUGCCGACUAGGGAUCGGAUGAUGUUAAUUUUUAAUGUACUCAUUCGGCGCCUUAC
rnacentral:rRNA from 1 species